GGUGGGUGCUGCUAUGGUGACCAGUGAGCUGAGAUAAGGCGGGGAUUUACCUAGCAAAGACUUCUAGAUGACCUGGAGCCAGUGGGUUUGGCGGUGAAUAUGAAGCGAGGGCCAGCCAACGAGAGCACACAGGUCGCAGUGGUGGGUAGUAUAUGGGGCUUUUGUGACGAAACAGAUGGCACUGUGAUAGACUGCAUCCAAUUUGCUGAGUAGAGUGUUGGAGGCUAUUUUGUAAAUAACAUCUCCGAAGUCAAGGAUCGGUAGGAUAGUCAGUUUUACGUGGGUAUGUUUGGCAGCAUGAGUGAAGGAUGCUUUGUUUGCGAAAUAGGAAGCCGAUUCUAGGGCAUAUAGAACAGAUAUAGGGCAUGUAGGGCAGAUAUAGGGGCUCUAUGGCAAAUAUAGGGGAUGUAGGGCAGAUAAUACAGGGCUGAGAUAGAGCAAUUUGCUUUGGCAAUGUAAACGUGUUUCCCAUGCCAAUAAAACCAUUUGAAUUUAAUUUAAUUGAGAGAGAGAGGGGGAGAGGGAGAGAGAGAGAGAGAGAGAGCGAGACAGAGACAUUAAAUGCUAACAGGAGGAUAACGUCACUAGCUCCCAAAUGUAGGCAUGCUGGUCUGGAGAAAAAGGCUCGCAGCUCUGUUAUCCGUGGUCACAGAGAGCGUGGGGGAGGAAGACACUUGGACCAAGGAGUCGUGUGGGUAGAAGAAACACACCGGCGUUAUCCAAAAGGAAAACUUCUAACCCAAAGACAGCGGUUUUCCAAAAAAUCUUUAGGCUAGUUGGAUUUUUUAUUGGAAAGCGAGCAUAUUGAACGCCGGACGUUUUGCACAACUUGGAAAACCUAUUCGUUGCCCUUUUCUUGGGGCAGCAGGUCACAAAUCUUGCUGCUGGGAUGGCACACAGCAUUGGUUCUCACAGAAUGAUGGCUUUUCGGUUGGUGGUGACGUCAGGUCCGGGGGCCGCCGCCGAUGCAACCUGGGGGUGCCUUAGUUGGCUUCCACACCCUAGCUGGCUCGAGAAAUUCCUGACCCCGGUUGGCUCGGCAGGCGCCCAUCCCACAUCAGGCCUUUGCUGUAUCGUCAGGGUUUUACCGCUCAGCCGGCUCGCCAGGCGUCUACGCCUCAGCCGGCUCAUCAGGCUCCCACGUCCCAGGCUCCCACGCCUCAGCCAGUUCACCAGGUUCCUAUGCCUCUGCUGGUUCGUCGGGCUUCUACACCCUAGCCAGUUGGUCCUGCGCACAUGCCUCGGCCGGCCCAUCAGGCUAGUCCAGGUGAGAAGCCGGGUGGCGCCACUAGAGGGGGGGUACUGUCACGCCUGAUCCCGCUCUCCCUCCCUGGUGCUUGUGGGCGCCAGGCUGCCCUGCAUUACGCACUCCUGCCACCAUCAUUACGCACACCUGCUUCCCUCGUCACGCACAUCAGCGGUUCAUUGCACUCACCUGGACUCAAUCACCUGUGUUAUUUCCUUCCCUAUAUCUGUCUGUUCCCCAGCUCUGUUCCCCACUUUGGCAUUAAUUGUCGUAUGUCGUUGUGUUACCCGUGUGCUGACGCUGUUCCUGUCUUGUUCCAUGUCUAUUCCUUAUUACAUGUUGACUCCCCGUA
ensembl:lncRNA